ensembl:lncRNA
GUUAAUGCAACAUUUCUUUUAUUGGGAGUCAGGGACCAAGGAAAGUCUUGUAAAACAUCAACAACAUCACACUUGGUGCUUGGGCUACUCUUUAACAACAAACCUGUUCAUUUAUGAGAUCCAGAUCAGUGGGGACAGUGUUAGGCAGAGCCAACAAGCAUUUUGAAAAAAAUAAGAUAGAUCCAUGAGCAGGACUAUAUAUGACAAUGUCAAACAGCUAAAAGAAAAUUACAUCAGCUAAAUAUCCAGGUACCUCAAAAAGUUAGACGUCUGUCCCUUAGCCUGCCCAGCUUAACUGUCUCAUUGAAGACAAAAAUCACAAUUAUCUAUACGGGCAAUUUAGUAAUCACUGUUAAAUGUCAAUCAAAUGCAGAGUGGCUGAAAGCCAGAAUGGGAUUUUUAGUUCUAGGUUUUUAUGGUCAAAGUUGUCUUGAAUUAGUUACACCAGCAAAUGACUAGUGGUAUUCGUUCCUGAAACAGCCAUAGAUAGACAUUUAUAGCACUUGCAAAUGAUUGCCAUUGGUCAGAUUGGUUGAGAAGAUGUACAAUGGAAGACUGGAUUGGUGCAGGUGUACUAAUGACUUCAUGAUUGGAAGAAUUAAAGAUAGAGUAUACGUACGACUUUGGCUAUUUUGUGUUCCUUGGAGACAAAUCAUUGACAACUUCUUGACUUAAAUACACUAGUUCAUAGCUGUAUUUAACAUUGAUAUCAAUGCCAAGGAGGGAAGGAACUAGAUUCUACUGGAUUCACUCUAUGCAGCGUUUGUGCCUUUAACCAAGUACCAGUUCAUGUUUCUUUAGGAAAUGGUAGAGUAAUUUAAAAGCCACUGAAAGAUAAACAAUGAGGGUUUAGUUUUGGGUCUUUGUUGGGCCACUUCCAAGUAUGUGUGUGUAUGGAGGGCGGUUGUUUGUUUUAUUGUUUGGUGGGGGUGGUUGUUUGUUUGGUUCUUUUUGGUUUUGUUUGUUUGUUUGUAAGUCACUCUGAUUACAGGCUGUAGAUUUACAUUUUCUGUCAAAAAGAUACUGUUAACAGGUAACCUAAGGCCCUGGCCUUACUGCUCUUAAAACUGAGGUUUCAGGCAGAACUAAAUCGAAAGUCUCAUAUCAGACCAAACUCAAGAGGAAAUGUACAAACUGCAGGCAGGCAGUGUACUUCACUAAGUUCUCAAUUUUCUUCCAUGGAAAUAUGUUUUUAUCACUCUGGUACAAUUCAGCUACAAAAGUAGGAGACAUGGUGGCCAUAAGUCAGCAGAAGAGCCAUGUAUAUCUGUAGACGGGCAUUAAGAGCUAUGGAAAAGGUGACAACUGUGUUGGGACUCAUCACAAAAGUCUGACUAGGGACUGAGUUUCAUGACCACAACAACCUUGAACGUGCAUAGCUGCAUGUAGCACCUGGGCCAGGCACUCAACCUCACCAAAACUAGUUUCAUUGUCCUCAAAGUGUGGGUGGUGUGUAGUUUUCAUAGCUACCAUGAGAUUUAAUAUGUAAAAAAGUUCCUGUGUGGAAUAAACUUGGUAACAAUCAACUAUGAACAGAAAAAUCAGGAAUUCUACGUAGGUACCACCAAUCAAUCACCUUCACCCCUGUAGUGACAUAGAACUGGAACUUUAGGUCUAGUUUGGUUUAAGUGACAACUGGGGUGGGAGAGGGGAGUUACCUGUAUGUAGCAUCUCUACCAGACACACAGACAGGGGUUCCAAAGGUCAGGUGAAAUCAAGUUAAGGUGAGGAUGUGUAGUCUCCAAAAUGCACCAUGUGGAUCUCCUCUGCCAUCCCAUUGCUCACCGUUAUGUUUGCCCUCAGGACUCUAUUUUCUCCUAUCUUCCACAUAUCUAACUUUGUUUUCACAUCCUUUCAAGUUUUAUUUCCUAUUCUCUC